rnacentral:misc_RNA from 1 species
GAUUUCCUGAUCUAUUACAACAACUAAGUGAUGCUGGAUGGGAUACAAAUAAUUUAAGUUUAAAGGUCCCAAAAGAAAUGUCGAUCAACGAGCUGAGUUAAUUGAGUUUCAUCCACUACAACAGUAAACCUACUGUUAAAGUUAAGUAACACAAGCAAGAAAGAUUUGAAUGGUUCUACGGCUAAAAAGUUGAGGACUGAGGAG